AGAUGAAUGGCUGAGUGGUUAAAAGCAUCAAUUUUGAAAAUUGAAAUAGGAAAAAAAUUACUUAUCGUGGGUUCGAAUCCUGCUUCAUCUA
rnacentral:tRNA from 1 species